AGUGAACGCUGGCGGUAGGCCUAACACAUGCAAGUCGAACGGCAGCACAGUAAGAGCUUGCUCUUACGGGUGGCGAGUGGCGGGCGGGUGAGGAAUACAUCGGAAUCUACUUUUUCGUGGGGGAUAACGUAGGGAAACUUACGCUAAUACCGCAUACGACCUACGGGUGAAAGCAGGGGAUCUUCGGACCUUGCGCGAUUGAUUGAGCCGAUGUCGGAUUAGCUAGUUGGCGGGGUAAAGGCCCACCAAGGCGACGAUCCGUAGCUGGUCUGAGAGGAUGAUCAGCCACACUGGAACUGAGACACGGUCCAGACUCCUACGGGAGGCAGCAGUGGGGAAUAUUGGACAAAGGGCGCAAGCCUGAUCCAGCCAUACCGCGUGGGUGAAGAAGGCCUUCGGGUUGUAAAGCCCUUUUGUUGGGAAAGAAAAGCAGCAGGUUAAUACCCCGCUGUUCUGACGGUACCCAAAGAAUAAGCACCGGCUAACUUCGUG
rnacentral:rRNA from 1 species